rnacentral:rRNA from 1 species
AUUGAACGCUGGCGGAAUGCUUUACACAUGCAAGUCGAACGGCAGCAUAGGUGCUUGCACCUGAUGGCGAGUGGCGAACGGGUGAGUAAUACAUUGGAACGUGCCCCGUUGUGGGGGAUAACGUAGCGAAAGUUACGCUAAUUCCGCAUACGAUCUUCGGAUGAAAGCGGGGGGCCGUAAGGCCUCGCGCGAUUGGAGCGGCCGAUGUUAGAUUAGGUAGUUGGUGGGGUAAAGGCUCACCAAGCCGACGAUCUAUAGCUGGUUUGAGAGGAUGAUCAGCCCCCCUGGGACUGAGACCCGGCCCAGACUCCUACGGGAGGCAGCAGUGGGGAAUUUUGGACAAUGGGCGCAAGCCUGAUCCAGCCCUUCCGCGUGCAGGACGAAGGCCUUCGGGUUGUAAACUGCUUUUGUACAGAACGAAAAGCUUUGGGUUAAUACCCUGGGGUCAUGACGGUAAAGGAAGAAUAAGCACCGGCUAACUACGUG